GGGGUUGUGGCUCAGCGGUAGAGUGCUCACCCAGCACGUGUGAGGCCCUGAGUUCGACCUCAGCAACACAU
rnacentral:tRNA from 1 species